GGACAGCCAUUGCUGAUUAUUGGCCAUCACUUAUUAAGUGGCAAGGUUGUAACACUUGAGAAACCAUUUGCUGUGCUUAAGAAGUUAAAGAUAGUUGACGAGGAAUCGGAGUCCACCUCCACUGAAUACACUGUUCAAGCUUUAGUUAGAAAGAAGAUUAUAUUCAAGACUCGUCCUAAACCAAUUAUUGUAAAAAAGAACAGUGAAAAAUAAGGUACUUAUUUGCAACUACUAGUAAAAGAGUGUAUAAAAAUUAAACAUGCAGAAAUUGGUAAAGUAGUUUGGGUACUGGCUUGUAAAGUAGUGUAUACUAGGCACAUCAUAUAAAAUUAUCUGGUAUUGGUUUAUUCCAGAAAACAUCCAUACCUACCUCACAAAGGAAAUUGGAAGUUAAUCCCCUACCCUCUUCAGAUGUCCUAAUACAAUUGCUAUUAUCA
rnacentral:lncRNA from 1 species